rnacentral:rRNA from 1 species
AUACGUAGGGGGGCGAGCGUUGUCCGGAAUGAUUGGGCGUAAAGGGCGCGUAGGCGGCCCGGUAAGUCUGGAGUGAAAGUCCUGUUUUUAAGAUGGGAAUUGCUUUGGAUACUGUCGGGCUUGAGUGCAGGAGAGGUAAGUGGAAUUCCCAGUGUAGCGGUGAAAUGCGUAGAGAUUGGGAGGAACACCAGUGGCGAAGGCGACGUACUGUCCAGUAACGGACGCUGAGUCGCGAAAGUGUGGGGAGCAAACAGGAUUAGAUACCCUCAUGGUCCACUCUGUAAACGAUGUUUACUAUGUGUGGGGGGACUGAGCCCUCCCGUGCCGCACGUAACACAAUACGUAAUACCCCUGGGGAGAUAGGUCGUACGGUUGAUGCUCAAACGAAUUGCCGGAG